CAGAUGGUAAAAGUGCUGAAACAGCUUUUACAAGUGAAUUCAGCCAGAACAGCAGAUCACCGCUGUGAGACCUUUUUAGAAAGUGGAAGUGAUGUCAUCCAUCUCAACCUCAUAUCACAUGGAACCAGUCAUUCUGGCAGCAGCCUCUGCUUUGGAGGUGACGACAGUCGCUGAAGUGGUCAAAGAAGUGGUUGUGCCUAUUGUAGAAGAAGUCGAGGAGGCCGCCCCAGUGGAGUCCCCAGCUGCAGUGGAGGAGGCCACAGCUGCAGUGGAGGAGGCCACAGCUGCAUUGGAGGAGGCCCCAGCUGCAGUGGAGGAGGCCCCAGCUGCAGUGGAGGAGGCCCCAGCUGCAGUGGAGGAGGCCCCAGCUGCAGUGGAGGAGGCCCCAGCUGCAGUGGAGGAGGCAACAGCUGCUCAACUUGAGGCUGCACCUGUAGAAGAGGCCCCGGCUGCAGUGGAGGCGGCCCCGGCUGCAGUGGAGGAGGCCCCGGCUGCAGUGGAGGAGGCCCCAGCUGCAGUGGAGGAGGCCCCAGCUGCAGUGGA
rnacentral:lncRNA from 13 species